UUGUGUCCUGCAGUCUGCAAAACUGCCUCCCCUGAGUGGGGUGAGGAGCUACUGAAAUACUGAAAUCAUUGAAACUAGCAGAAGCCACAGCUCAUGGUGCUGGGAGAAAACUGGGAAGGACGGAGAGGUGAAGAGGCUAUAAAGGCCCAGUCAUGAAGGCGACCAUGGGCCAGGAUGUCCUGAAGUCGCAAAGCUGACCAAUGCUGAGUGCCCUAAAACCUGCCACUCCUGUGCACAUCUUUUCUUUCAAUGGACAAAGUCUUCCCCUGCUCUUAUGUGCCUGGGCUGGAAGGGCCUUUGACUUAUAACAUGAAGCAGCCUCCAGAGCCUCUUGGGGCAAGUGAUGGUCAAGGAGGCUCUGCCUAACCCCACCCUGCCCUUCCCACUUGUCAGAGGACCAGGAAUUUCAGUCUUCCAGCUCCUGGGCUGAUCUAGUGACUUGUAACAGGAUUUCGCUGGAACUGGAAGGUGUUGAAGACAGGAAGUACUCCUGGGUUUCUUCACCCAGCUGAAUGCCUAGUUCCUGGUCUUAUUACACGGCUUACAUUCAGGAUAAGAAGAGGCAUUUGGAGCUUUACGCAUGACCUCUUAGCAGAGGUUUCUGUUCAGGAGCGAAGAGGUAAAAAGAAAGCAGUGUCUACUAAGUCCUUUUCCAAGAGUCUCAGGAAAUUCUCACGAAGACCUUCUCAGGCGGGACGCCCCUCCUGUGCUGUCCUCAGAAGGGCUCUUCAUAGACCGCACCCCUAGUUUGCGGAGCAGCAGAGCCUGCCCCAGUCUGGACUAGGGACUUUAUUUCUUCCACUCUCACCACUGGCUGAAGGCAGACUCCUGUCUCCACAGACUAAAGAGGAAUUAUCAAAAUGAGCUCGAAACUCUAGAUUUGAGUUAAGGAUCAUAAAUUAACACAGAGAAAUACAACUUUAACAACAAAGACCUGUUUGGAGCCCCAGUUGGAAUUAAAAAAAAAAAAACUUGAACAGAGGGAGUGAUAAAGUUUUCCUUCUUUUGCCACCCUCUCUCGGUGGUCCCAAGCUUUCUCAUCUCCCACCUCACAAGACUGUAUCAACUGCUUUGAGACUUUUAGAAUAAAGAUCCCCAGGCAUAUCACUGCUGUGACCCUGUGAGGAUUUCCCCAGUGCUGGGUUAGACUAAGACAGAAUCCUUCCAAGGCUUCCAGGGCCUGUGUACUGGACAGUCAGCACACGGAGCCUCAGAGCCCACUUCAUUUUUCCUGCAGUUGGGCAUGACACCAGGGACAUGACCCUUGAGAGUGCUGACACUUCCUGAAGCCAGUGACCCUCCCCCUGGGCUUCUCUCUGCCUGGGUCUCAGAGUCUCUGAGGCCAACUUGUACCCUCAGAAGUGUUUCUGCUGAAGGACACGUAAACAGCACUGUGGAUUUGUGUCCCGCAGUCUGCAAAACUGCCUCCCCUGAGUGGGGUGAGGAGCUACUGAAAUAUUGAAAUCACUGAAACUAGCAGAAGCCACAGCUCAUGGUCCUGGGAGAAAACUGGGAAGGACGGAGAGGUGAAGAGGCUAUAAAGGCCCAGUCGUGAAGGCGACCAUGGGCCAGGAUGUCCGGAAGUCGCAAAGCUGACCAAUGCUGAGUGCCCUAAAACCUGCCACUCCUGUGCCCAUCUUUUCUUUCAAUGGACAAAGUCUUCCCCUGCUCU